AGGGUUGGCUAUGACCCAGGGCAGAUGUUGACUGUGACCCAGGGCAGGUGUUAGCUAUCACCCAGGGCAGAUGUUGGCUAUGAAAGAGACUUGCUAAUGGACGCUCAAUCAAUCCUGACCUGGGUGUUGGAAACCUGUCCCUCCUGCUGCUGACACUCCCCAUGUGCGUCCUUUCAGAAGCAGGGAAGGCUGUGGAAGCUGUGGCCAUGUCAUAACCCUGUGACCUACGUCAGCCAGCUAGACCCUGCCUCCCAGAGUCACACCACUAGCCAAGGAGAACACAGGCCUGAGAUGGGAGCUUAUCACGAUGGUCUGGAUUCAAGCUGUAAAAUACCAUUCCUCCUGAAGCUGCAGAGACCGCUCAUUGCUUCUCUGUGGAGCUGUCAGGACUCUAUGGAAAGCGCUCACUGUAUGUUGUUGACAUGGACGCAGAUGUGGGGACUUUGUCUGCAGAGCCAUGCAAAAUACAAGAGUACAGAAUGAACUACGUGAGAGACUUCCCAGUCCUGGAAAAGCAGAGGCAGCAGCUUGUCAGAAAGAUAAGAAGGCAGAUUCCGGAGUUCAAGGUCGGCCUGGUCCAGAGCAAGGUUAGGCCCCCGCAAGGAAAAAAAUGGUAAUCUCAGGGUGGGGUCCCCGUCCCACCCAGUUAGUUUAUCAGCAGGGCUCUACAAGUAGAUGGAUCUCUGAAUUCUUUUGAAAUGUUAAAAAGAAGGAAAGAAAUGUGUGCCUGUGGUCUCUUAGGAAUCCAGGGGCCAGGGUCACAGGAUGCAGAUCCACACGAUAAUCAGUAGGGAAUCUGGAGUAAAUGCCUGGAUUGAUAUGUAAAUAAAAGACUGGGCUUACAGAUCUGCCAGAAGGAGCUAUCCAGAAAAUUAAAAAAAAAAAAAAAAUCAAGCAAAACCUAGAGAGAGGGCUGUCCGGAGAUCUCCCGAGAAAGCAGAACACAGACAGCAAUCUGAAAAGCUGUCUUCAGCAGAACAUAGGCUGACAGUUUGGACCACGAUUUGACUUCACUUUGUUUGUUUUCACUGCUCCUAGACACCCCUUCUUUCAGAACCCCCUCUCCAAGCCGAGGGUGGUCUUUGGCCCACUCUCCCUUAGAGGAGGUAGUGAGAACCGACCUUCAGCCCCGAGUCGAUGACCAUUCAGGCACUUCUAAGAAGGCUCCUCAGCCUAAAGGUCCCCUUGCUGUGAUGUGUCUUACACACACACACACACACACACACACACACACACACACACACACAUAUACACACACAUACAUACACAUACACAUACACACACAUACACACAUAUACACACACAUACACAUACACACACAUACACACACACAUACACACACACCCGUGCAUGAGAGUGUACAAACCCACCAUUCAGAAGCCAGAGAGACCAGGAGAGGGCAUCUGAUCCCCCAGGAGCUGUAAUUGCAGGUGAUUGUGAGCUACCCAACGCGCUGUCACUGACAUGGGUGCUGGGAACCAAACGUGGGUUCUCUAUGAAAGCAACAAAGGCCCUUAGCUCUGGAGCCAUUUUGCCAGCACUGUCGGGGAUCUCGAGUCAGCUGCUGUACCCCAUCUUUCUUUGACAGAAACCCUCAAAUCCCUUGCUUAUUUAGUAACUCCCGUGGGCCCUGAAAUUAGCAUGUAGAAAACGACAUCAAACAGCACCACGAUAUAAAUUAAGGGACACCAGACAUUAUUAGGCAAACUGCUGGCUCAACUUCUGUUGAGACCCCUUCCUUAUUUUCAACAGAGUCAUUUCAAAGUUCCGGGGAGACCCUCACGUUCUUCCACUAACUUUGAGCCUCCCUCUUCUCCGUUAAGCCACGCCCACAGCUCUCUCUGAGAUAGAACCUCUCAUUGGAUCCCAGGCUGAGUCAAACUCAUGGCAAACCUCCCCCCUUAGCCUCCUGAGUGCUGCUGGCAUUAAAGGCGUGUCUGUUCUGUGAUGCCCGGGACUUCGUCAUGAGUGAUCUCGUGCCCCCUGUGUGUGGCAUGUUUGAGACUAAGGUCAGGGCCGGAUGAGCACGUCCACGCUAACCUCACUCCCCUGGAUGCCACACGCCAACCCACCCUGGGCUCGGCUGCCUGAGCAAGUGGUUUCUAUGCAGAGCUCUGGUGCUCGGUGUGAUCCGGCCAGCAGCUGUGGUGCCCUCAGUAACCUCCAGGGGCACUGUAAAGCAUUUUGUAGAUGCCGUAAGCAUGGAAUCCCUCUGGCUCUCAGUGAGGCAGGUGGCCCCAUCAGAGGCUGAAGGCAAUUUCCAGAGAGGAAGGCAAUCUACUUCCAGCCUGGAGCGUGGCUUCUGGAUAGAGUGGCAGCCUGUGGGCAUCAGACUCACGGGCCUAACUAUGGGUUGAUUCUCUUGUAGAACCCGAGGUUGCUCCUGGAGAGCCCUGUACACCGUAGUUUAACUUC